GAAGGUUGGUUACAUCUACAAUGGACAGUUGUCCUUAUACCCAUAUGCAAAUGCAGUCUUCACCUCUCAUCAGGGAAACUUCUCUUUGCAACAGAUGGAGACCAUUACAGGAAAACACAACCAAUUAAAAUGCAGAAUUGUGGAGCCCAGUCCCAGUGGAUACAUCUUCAGAACACCCUACCCCCACCUAAGGCUCAGGGAACACUGUCAAAGAUGGGGCAGAAAGAGGGGUCAGGCUGACUGCUGGCUGAAGAACCUACUUCAGGGAGUCAAGAGCAGAAGCAGAGAGACAAGUUUCAUUUAUUCAGGAUCUUUAUUCUUGUGAAGACAGGAAGACCUGGGGAACACAGAAAAGGGAUGGUGCUAGGCUAACUGUGCACCUGUGAUCUCAGCACUUGGAAGAGGGAGAACAGCGGAGCCAGAGACAUGCUUGGGCAACAUGAUAAGAGCCCCCUCUCCACCACACAGAAAGACACAAGCUAAAGUUAGAUAUAAAUAAGGGACAGCUAGUUAAGUGGCUGGCCGCUGCAGUUCUGUCUCCCAAUGUGUUUUUCAAAUGCUGAGGCCACCAAGAAGUGUCACAAAGAUGGGGCCAAGCAGACAAGACCGGGAACCCUCAGGGUGGUAUGGUUACAGACAAGAUGGAGAUAAUCAAUGGUGUACGUGAAGAGAACAUUAAACCUUCCACAGCCUCAACAUGAUCCUACUGGAAGGUGGAGUCCUGACAUGUCAGUCAUGACAACUUGAGAAGUUGCUCAGUGGCCUGUUUUUCCAACCACAAAAAUGAUCUGGCCCAGUCACUUCUAAUUACAAAAUCCACUAGGAAAAAAUGGUACCUGCAGUGGCCUCCUGGUCCCUAGAAGAAAGCGCUGGUAGCAAAGGUUUGUCCAAGCCAGGCACAAAUGUGUCUGUCCAUAGACUGGUGGUCCCAUGGCAGUGUAUCCAGCCUCAACGGAGGAGUCAGUCAGAGCAUACCCAGAGUUAAGGAACCUUCUGGAGGCUUUCUGGAUGUCAGAGCAACUUCUUCAGCAUAAAGUCUCAUGAUUAAAAUGACCCAGAAACUAACAGACCCAAUACAAUCCUCUAACACUUGGCAACAUGCUUGGGAGAUUCAAUGGCAUCCAAGGAUCAGGCACUUGAGUCAUCUCACCUAACUGGUAAGGUCCACGUGUCUCAAAGUCUCUCACGUCCACACAGCCUGCCCAGGACCUUGGCAGCUAUGCACUGCACCU